AUUGAACGCUGGCGGCAGGCCUAAUACAUGCAAGUCGAGCGGAGCGGCGGACGGGUGAGUAAUGCCUAGGAAUCUGCCAGGUAGUGGGGGAUAACGUCUGGAAACGGGCGAUAAUACCGCAUAAUAUCAGAUGAGGCUAGGUCGGAUUAGCUAGUUGGUGGGGUAAAGGCCUACCAAGGCGACGAUCCGUAACUGGUCUGAGAGAAUGAUCAGUCACACUGGAACUGAGACACGGUCCAGACUCCUACGGGAGGCAGCAGUGGGGAAUAUUGGACAAUGGGCGAAAGCCUGAUCCAGCCAUGCCGCGUGUGUGAAGAAGGUCUUCGGAUUGUAAAGCACUUUUAGUUGGGAGGCGUUACCAACAGAAUAAGCACCGGCUAACUUCGUGCCAGCCGCCGCGGUAAUUC
rnacentral:rRNA from 1 species